UAUCGGCUUUGGAAAUUUGGGUAUUAGUUUACAAUUGAACUUGGCUGAUACCAAAAGCCGCGUAAGUGGGAGCCAUAGCUUUUUAAAUUUUACUGAAUGAGUAUUACGUAAAUGAUAGAAUGUUCAGAGUGCCAUAAUUCAUCAUCGAAUUCAAAACAUCUGUAUUUUUUCUAUCACUCAAUGCAUCUAUCAAGGAGACUAAAUUAUUGCCUUUUUGAAAUUGUUACAAAAAAAAGUCUUUGAACAGAAUAUUGUGGAAACCUACAAGUUGCUCCGUGUUAAUUCACCAAUCAAUCUCAUUCUAAAACAUCUAACUGUGUUUUCAUCGAUAAAAUCGAAGUAUGUGAAUGUAGUGUAGUCAAGGGAAGGUUAAUAGUGAACAUUCUUGGUAAAGAAGUUAGGUUUUCUCCUCCUUCACACACCAACCAAAGAUUUUUGAAAGAAGGAUGCAGAUAAUUCCAUAUCUAGGUAUAUUUGCCAAUUUACUGAAUGAAAAUCCUUCACCAAUUUUUUAAAAUGCAGAGUCAGGCACCUUUUGCAAUCUGGGUCUCAAGUCAGAAACUACUUUAACAAGUUCGAAGGGACCAGCUGUCAAGAUUUGUUUAAUGAAACGCCCUUUUAACACCAGGUCAUCUCUCUUUAUUUCAGGCGAACAAUGGUCUGCCUGAAUCAGAUGAAUCGAAGAUAGUCAAGAAGGUAGAAUCUGAGCCCAAAGAACAGAAGGAAGAAGUGAUUUUCUGAAAUUAAGCCGAAAGCUGCUCCUGUCGAGCCAGCGGCAAAAGAACUUAGUAAACCGAAAGAAAUCAUCUCCAACGAUGCUAAAACGAAUUCACAACCCAUCACCGAGUCAAAGAAAAGUGAUACAACCGUGAACAAUCGUGCACCUCCAAAAGCGAGUGAGCCAGUCAAACCUAUCAAACCUCAACUACAAGAACGGCAGGACCCCGAAGAGCCAGCAUCAGGUGACGGUGAUGACAGCGAGUGGAGCACCAAAGUCUCAAGAAUUGAAACCAUCUGAAGAGAUCCAAUCAUCAAAAGUGCUCAAAGCUAAAGAACAAAAACCUCCUGUAAGUAUCUCUCAAUCACUUAAAUCCCGGCUUUAACCGGAGACGAAGACCAUUAUAGGAUGCAUUUCUGUCAAAUGGAACUAUGUGCUUUAUGACGGAGCCUGGUAUGCAUUUGUAUUCUUUAUGGGUCUCAGGGCUCAUUGUCUUAAUGCACAUAAUUCCGUUUGAUAGAAAUACUUCCAUAUGAUUUCAUUUCCUUUUAAACGAUUAAUAAAAAAAGAAUGUUCUCCCCCUCAAAUCCCAUAUUCAGCAGUCCAUUGUAACAGUGAGGAGUAGGGUGGGGGGAAACCCACCCCCCCCUCAUUAACAAGGGGGUCCUACUGCCGCUGGGGGGGGGUGUUCCCAAACGGGGGGGGGGGGGGGGGUGAUGUGGGCGGGGGGGGGGGGGGGAUGGAAGGCGAUAUCAUGGGGGCGGAAAUGGGGGGGGGGAAUGAACCCGCCAACUCGAAAAAAAUUAAAAAUAAUCAAGACCAUCACACAAAAACAGGGGGUGAGGGG
rnacentral:lncRNA from 1 species